UUCUAUGGAUGAACAGAGAAAGUGGUUUCUUGAAUAGAAACUACUCCUGAUGAAGAUGCUGUGAA
rnacentral:pre_miRNA from 1 species